AGUUAUAUUUUGGAUCCAGCAUUCUCUGAUUUGUCCUCCUCUAGCUUCCCCAAGAGUCAUACAAAUAUUGGGGGAUUCACAAGCAUUGUCCCCCACUGGUGAACACCAGGAACAAGUGGGCAGUGGGGGCUGCAGAGUGUUUCUAGAGAAAGGGCUUAGGGGUGGCCCCUGCCUGGGUGGCACAGUGAGCACACUGUACUCCUAGGUAGAUCGGAUAUUGACUUGGAGAGGUCUUGGAGAAAGGCUGAUGAAGGUGAUCGACAGCCUAAAUCUCUGAAGCCGUCUCCUGAUGCAACCUCUGACCCAACAAUCUCUGGGUCUUGCUGUUAUCAGCUCCAUCAGUUUUACUGGAUGGAAUAAAAAGGCCUACCUCAUUGGGCUCGUGUGGGUGAGGAGAACUGAAGAGUCUGAGAGCGCGGCACGAGCCAGAGGCUACGGAAAACACUGCCCUCCUACACUCCACCUUGGAGAGACCCAGAAAAGAACAAGCUUCAUUUGUAAAAAAGGAAAACAACUCAGGCAAUGGGGGUGGCUUAAAGGCACUCUACAGUGUGCAGAUGCCUUCCACUUCUUCCAUCUGCCCUGUCUCUCCAAGAACCCCUAUGGCCCCGGUCUCAGAACAGAGCUGAGUGCAGAAAUGAAAAUCUAUGGCUCUGUGUUCCAAAACGAUGAAGAAUUUCAAGAUGGUGGCAGUGGUAAAAUCUUUCUCCAGGAAAAAUCUGUCCUUGGCCCAAUGUGUAAACACUUGCUGAGUAUUGUGAAACCAGCAACUUGUUCACAAUUCUUCUGAAUUUCUUGGGAAAUUUGAAGUGGAGUACCUGUACCAACAUGAAAUGACACGAAUUUAAGUGACGCUCAACAACGAAAAGCAAAAAGAACCAAAGAGGAAGCAACUGAAACAACAUCUGGAUGUAUUUAAAAAUAUACAAUGCCUCCAAAAUCAGGUGUCAUUAAUGAAAAUUCUGAAGAAAUGCCACCGGACAUAGCCAACGCACCUACGCUGUUGUUAUUCAUUUCCUGCUUUUCACAGAAAACAAUUUUGUUGCAUGGAAGAUCGUGAACUUCAAAGGGCAGAGGGGAAACUGUCCCUUGGCCUCUACCCCUCCAAGGCCCCACUUUUUUGUCAACACUCCUUGGACGCAGCAGAAGUAUGAACAUAAUAUGGUCCUGAAUGAGGCUGAGUCUUUGGGCGCAGAAGACCCGGGUUAAUAAAAAUAGGAA
ensembl:lncRNA DRAIC downregulated RNA in cancer, inhibitor of cell invasion and migration